rnacentral:rRNA from 1 species
UCAGUAUACGUGGAUAAUCUGCCCUUAGGUGGAAAAUAACCUCGGGAAACUGAGGAUAACGUUCCAUAGAUCUAGGAUGCUGGAAUGCACUUAAAUCAAAAGCUUCGGCGCCUAAGGAUGAGUCCGCGGACUAUCAGGUAGUAGUCAGGGUAAUGACCUGACUAGCCUUCGACGGAUAUGGGUUGUGAGAGCAAUAACCCAGAGAUGAUAUCUGAGACACGAUAUCAGGCCCUACGGGGCGCAGCAGGCGCGAAAACUUUGCACUGUGCGAAAGCACGACAAGGGGAUCCCAAGUGCUGGCUCUUAGGAGUCAGCUGUUUUUCUGUCUAAAAAACAGAGAGAGUAAGGGCUGGGUAAGACGGGUGCCAGCCGCCGCGGUAAUACCUGCAGCCCAAGUGGUGGCCACUAUUAUUGGGCCUAAAACGUCCGUAGCCUGUUCUGUAAAUGCCUGGGUAAAUCGUACGGCUUAACCGUACGAAUUCCGGGUAGACUGCAGGACUUGAGACUGGGAGAAGCUAGAGGUACUCCGGGGGUAGAGGUGAAAUUCUGUAAUCCUCGGGGGACCACCGGUGGCGAAGGCGUCUAGCUAGAACAGGUCUGACGGUGAGGGACGAAGCCCUGGGGCGCAAACGGGAUUAGAUACCCCGGUAAUCCAGGGUGUAAACGCUGCUCGCUUGAUGUUAGCCGGGCGUCGAGCCCAGCUAGUGUCGGAGAGAAGUUGUUAAGCGAGCUGCCUGUUAAGUACGGUCGCAAGACUGAAACUU